rnacentral:rRNA from 1 species
AGAGAGGAUUAGACUGGUAGUCCACGCCGUAAACGAUGUCUACUAGUUGUCGGUGGUCUUGUACUGCUGGUAACGCAGCUAACGCGAUAAGUAGACCGCCUGGGGAGUACGGCCGCAAGGUUAAAACUCAAAUGAAUUGACGGGGGCCCGCACAAGCGGUGGAGCAUGUGGUUUAAUUCGAAGCAACGCGAAGAACCUUACCUGGCCUUGACAUCCUGCGAACUUUCUAGAGAUAGAUUGGUGCCUUCGGGAGCGCAGAGACAGGUGCUGCAUGGCUGUCGUCAGCUCGUGUUG